rnacentral:tRNA from 1 species
AGAGCAUCACCUUGCCAAGGUGAGGGUCGCGGGUUCGAAUCCCGUCGUCCGCU